CUCUCCCUCUCUGCACCUGUCUCAUACCCUCGAAUAUCUUAAUUCCUUAGGCUUGAGAGAGAGAGCCUUAAUGGAUGCUCAUUCAUAUUCCUGCCUUUCUUCCAUCAGCUCUCUGCAAAGAUGAUUUUGCUUCUCCCUAGUGCUGGUAUACUAUAGAGAAACCCCCGAGGACCAUGUGAUUAAGUUCCUAUCUUUUGAAAGUUUGUUCUGCAGAGACAUCUAGGAGGAUGCUGUGCCUCCCAAGCUCAGAGCAGCCUCUGUCCUGGCUGUGCACAUUCUC
rnacentral:lncRNA from 1 species